UACGAAGGGGGCUAGCGUUGCUCGGAAUGACUGGGCGUAAAGGGCGCGUAGGCGGUUUGUACAGUCAGAUGUGAAAUUCCUGGGCUUAACCUGGGGGCUGCAUUUGAUACGUGCAGACUUGAGUGAGGAAGAGGGUUGUGGAAUUCCCCGUGUAGAGGUGAAAUUCGUAGAUAUUGGGAAGAACACCGGUGGCGAAGGCGGCAACCUGGUCCUUGACUGACGCUGAGGCGCGAAAGCGUGGGGAGCGAACCGG
rnacentral:rRNA from 1 species